AUCUAGCUGACGAGUCCUAAAUAGGAAGAAAAGCGCUUCGUGAAU
rnacentral:hammerhead_ribozyme from 1 species